AUGUGAAUCGGAUCUGAUUAUUUUUAUCAUUUGUUUGCUUUAUUUCUUGUUUAUUUUACUUGAAGCUUCAUCUUCAAUACAAAGUUGUCUCUGGAGCUUUCACGCCGGUCUCAUGGUCUUCCUGAUUAGAUCACAUGAAGUUUAUAUCGUUUGAAAUGUUAAUGAAUAAGAUGAAAUAUUCUGAUGUUUGUAAAUCAGUUUAACAUGUAAAUGAAUAAUAUAUCGAUAAGAAAGAAUGCUUUAUCAGGUCGGAACCGUUCCAUUCAUAACUUUGCUGAGUCAGUACUUCCGUUUUUUGUGGGCGGAGCCAUCAGAUGAGCUGAUCCAAAGUAACAAAACAAAGUACUUUGAUCCGGCCGAGAGUUCUACUACUUAAAAAUACUUCAGAAGGAAUUAACGUUACUGCGGACUGUAAGUUAUCAGACAGCCAGUUGAUGAUGUCAUCGGUGAAGGUAGAGUGCGUGGUGAAGGCGAGCGCUUUGAUUGGUGAAGGGCCAGUGUGGGAGGAGUCAGAGCAGACGCUGCUGUUUGUCGACAUCGGCGGGCAGAAAAUCCACCGCUGGAGUCCAUCGACCAAUCAGAUCCAGUCUUUGGAAACAGGUGACACGGUGGGCUUCGUGGUUCCUCGCAGGUCAGGUGGUUAUGUUGCAGGUGUGGGCCGCAGCAUCGUGGCUGUCAAUUGGUCAACUCAGAUGGUGACAUCAUUGGUGGAGGUCGACGAGGACAAAAAGAACAACCGACUGAACGACGGGAAGGUCGAUCCGAUUGGACGCCUGCUGGCAGGUACGAUGGGGAAGGAGGAGCGACCCGCCGAGGUUCAGAGACAACAAGGGUCUCUGUUCUCUGUGAACUCUAACCUCAGCGUGACCAAAAACCUGAGCCAGGUGGACAUAUCGAACGGGUUGGACUGGUCUUUAGAUCAGAAGACGUUUUUCUACAUCGACAGUUUGUCUCUGACUGUCGACGCCUUCGACUACGACUCAACCAGCGGACACAUCGGUAACCGGCGUGUGGUGUAUCGUAUGGAGGAGGGGGAGGGGCUUCCUGACGGGAUGACAGUUGAUGCUGAUGGUCGUCUCUGGGUGGCCUGUUACAACGGCGGAAGAGUCAUCAACAUCGACCCUGUUACUGGUGUGCGGCUGCAGACGGUCUCUCUGCCGGUGAUGAAGACAACCUCGUGUUGUUUUGGAGGUCCAGACUACUCUGACCUUUACGUGACCUCAGCCAGUCUGGGCCUCGACCAAUCAGGGAGAAGACAACAGCCGCUGGCUGGAGGCACGUUCAAGUUUGAUCCAGGUGGGUUUAUUUUGACCUGUCCAGGUCUCAGGUUGAGACGGGACACUCCAUACGGACAAGAACGCCUUGAAGGACAACCCGGCAGGUGUGUCCUGAACUGAGCCUCACCAGCAGACCAACUUCAUGUUCCGGACAGAAUAGUUUCCUGAAUCAGGUCAGUUCAUCGUCUCUUAUUUUAAAUCUGGAUUCAUGUUGGAAGGAAAACUGUUCUUGAUGGGGAGAUGGAGACAAACUGAUCAAACUGGGAAAUGUGUUUUCUUGUUCUGUGUCUGCUCCAGCGCCCCCCCCCCCCCCCCCCCCACUGUGACAGUUCAAACUGCAGUACACACCUCAGCCUUGAGCUUCAGGUGAUACAUUCGGUGAUACAUACAGGUGACCGGGUCGAGGCAGAGUCACAGAUAACCAGAGUUUAACUCUUUAGUUUGUGAACGCUAACACUCUUAAUGAAAGUUCAUGAAAGGAAAACACAAACUGUGUGAAUCCCCGACUCUGGUAAGGCGAGUAAAUACAGUAGAACACAGUAGAACACAAUAAAGGAGCAGAACCCUGUACAAGAUCCAGUUAAAGACUUGAAUUACCCAGAACAACCACAGAACCACAGACCUGCUGCCCCAGAACCAGGACUCUGGAACCAGGGACGGAUCAGAGGUCAGCUGGUGUCUGUGAACACAAACUGACCAAAAAAUAACAUACAAGCCAUGAUGUCAUCGGUUCACAUCAAAUAUUUUCAAAGUGCUAAUUGGUCCCCUCGAUUAGAAGUGGGCGUGGCCAUCUGAAGAAGACAUGACAUCCUCCUCAAACAUGCUGACAUAAACUCUUUUGCUAUGAGUUUCUCUCUCUCUGUCUCUCUUACUCUCUCUCUGUCUCUGUCUGUCUCUCUUACUCUCUUCCCCCCCCCGUCUCAGUAGUGCUCCUCAGAGUGGGCGGGGUCACAGAAGAAGCGAGAGCUGCGUUUGGCUGAUCGGGCCGUGAAGGGUACGGCUUUCAGAGCUGUAGGUGAGACGGAACAAAACAGCCAAUCAGAUGACAGACAGAAGAAGAGGUCUAAACAUGACUGUUCACCUGUCACAAAGUUUUUAUAAGUGGUGUGAUGUCACCUGUAACCAUGUGUUUACCUGUGAUGAUGUCCUCUAUGGCUCCAUCCUUCCCUUCAUAAACAUGGCAGCUGUCUUUUCCUUGUCGUCGUCUGAGCUCUGUGAGCAGCUCCUGCUGCGGCCGCUUCGCCCUGUGGGAGGGAGACUGGAGGGAGGAGGGGGAGAAAGAUGAGACCUUUAGAGAUCAUACCGCCUUCAGAGAUCUUACCAACUGAUAUGUAAAUUAUGGAUGCUUGCCAACAAAGAUAGCUAACUAGCACUGGCGUUAGCUGCUGACAUAGCAUUGGUCAUGCUAAUGAGACCUUCCGCCACUGAGCCCUGCUCCUCUCAAGCUCCACCCUCCCGUCCAAAUUUGGUCACUUCUGGUUCCAAAAAUUAAAUAUUGCAACAGCCGGAGCCACCCAGCUUCACUUUGGCUCUGCAGGAACCUAUGGGUGUCGUCGCAGAGACGAGUGAGUCUCGUUGCGAGUGAGUCUUGUUGCCAUAGAGUUGCGUACAAACGAACAAAUCGGUGACUCUUUCGAUUCUUUCUACACUGCUGGUCGAUAGUAAAUCAUGACUCAGCAGUUCCACCGGUGUGACAGGUCAGAGGUCACAGUCUCACCUUGGUCUCCUCCUCCUCCUGCUGCUCCUCUUGCUCCAGUUUCUCCAGUAACAUUUGUUCUUGACGCCUCCUUUGCUCGUUUUCCUCCUCUGCCAGCUGAACACACACACAUAUGCAGAAACACACAUUGAAUACACACCAACCUUAUUUUGUGUUGAGCUGUAAGUUAUUAAGACCUGAGGACUUGUUUCAGACAAACUCUGGUCCUUCAUGUCCGUAGACCACGCCCCCUGUAUGGGAGGCGGGGCUUGAGAUGUGUCACUCACCCUGUAUGCCUUAAUGAAACGAACGAAGAUGGGGAAGAAAACAGACGGCGGCAUCGUCUUGGAGCUAUCCCCGAAAAACUUCACCACGUCUUCAAAAGCAUCCUGAAGAAUCCAAACAAAAGGAAUAGAUUAGUUUUUGCAGUUUCAUUAAUGAUUUUUGAAAUAGCAGGAUUAAUAAUUAUUGAUUACUCAUUAAAAAUGGCUCUUAUUUCAGAUGUUUGCUACAUGACCAAAAAGGUUUUGUUACGUCUUCCUUCUGCGCUGUGAUUGGAUGAGUAACAGUGAUGUCAUCAGCAAGUAAUAUAUUAUUGUUUAUACUCAUCCAUCAUAAACACUUAAAAUAUCUUUAAAAUAAAAUGGCAUAUAAUCUUUAAUAUGCGCUCUUCUCUUUUUAUUUUAUUCCAGUGUUAAAGUCCUGAAAACUUCAGAAUAUUAAAAAGUGAAUUUACUUCUUAACCAUUUUGUUUUGCCCGUAAAGUCCUCGACGUUGUUGGGUAAGUUAGCUGUGUGCUACAACUUCAAUCAUUUUUUCAGCCUAUAUUUCAGCAAAUAUCACUGAAUUAUUUUUAUACUGACGAAAAUCUUCAAUGUUUUGGACAUUUUUUACGAAAAUUAUUCAAUAAGGAGCUACGGGUGACAGAUCUUUUAAAUAUAUGUUGUCUUUCCUCACAAAUGUUAACAUGAAGCUUCAUAUUAAACUAGCAAAGAACCACCAUCAUGAGUCUUGAUAUUCAGAGCAUGAAGAGUCAUGAUUCAGUUCAUACUCUCUCUGUCAUUGAUGACUUUGAUGAGGAAAACGAUCGGAGUGGUCGCCAUAUUCUGUGUAAAACAAAUUAAACUUAGUGUGUGUGUGGUCUCACCUGAGCGAUGCGUGCGUCCUCCUGCAGUUUGCCGAGUCGUGAUUCGUGUCUGCUGAUGAAGUCUUUCAGUGUGGCAUUGUGUCCAACACUAAACUCUCUCCAGGUGAGCUCCAUGCCACGCUGCAGCUCCUUCACAUCACACAGCACGUUCUCCAGACUCACUAAGGACGGGUGAGGACAGGAGACGGGUGAGGACACACACUACACAGUCUGUCUUGCAGCGCUCUGAUUGGCUGACAGACUUACCUGCAGCAGCCUUGUCCACAUAGUGAAGCUCGUUAUAGAACAAACACUUUGCAGGAUAUUUCUCUCUCACAACGUUGGCGAUGUAAUGAAGCAAAGUCUGUUUCCUGUCUGUUGACUUUGUCUCCAGGAGCUGAAACACAAACACAGAUAUUAUUACAAAUAUUCUCCUAUAUAAACCUCAAGUAUUGUUCUCGUGUGUGUGUGUGUGUGUGUGUGUGUGUGUUACCAGGUCUAAACUCUGCAGUUUGAAUCCGUAAAUGGCUCCUCUCUUACUGCUGUUCAUGUAGUUCCCCAGAGCCAAGAUGAUCUACAGAACAGAAGCAGACUGACCUCCAGGAUCUUCUUGAGCUUCUGAGAUGACUUUAUAGAAACUGAAGCAGCGAUCAUGGCGUGGAGUUGCUGAGAGGAAACACAACAAACAUCCAUUAGUGUGUACAACUGUCUGUCUGUUUACCCAUCUGUCUGUUUACCCGUCUGUCUGUCUGUUUACCCAUCUGUCUGUUUACCCGUCUGUCUGUCUGUUUACCCGUCUGUCUCUAUUUGUUUGACUCUCUUUUCCCUUUGUACUUGUUAAUGACAUAUUUAAAAAGUGGAUCAAUAUUUCAAAUAUAUUUUAUUUGUUGAUUUAAAUGUAAAAAAAUGUUUUCCGAAGAAUAUCUCAUAUUCAGUGAGCAUGUAAUUAUCCCAUUUAACCCAUUAAAGACCGUAUCUAUCGCCUUUGGUUUAAAUCCUUCAUACGUCUUCCCUGAUCUUCAUUACCGUGAUGAUGUUUGUCCCUCUACCCGUCUGUCUUACCGGAGUUAACAUCUGGAUGUUGUCUGUGAAGUUGCCCAUGAAGGUCAUGAUGGACAUUCUCUGAGUGAGUCGUUCGAUGCGACUGAACUGCAUCAUGAAGCGGUCUUCGUCACUCAAAGCCUCCAGAGGUUUUCUGUCCCUCUCGUAUUGUCGUAGAAGCUUCACCUCGGCCUCAGUCGGCAGGAAACGCAUCAGACACUCGACAAAGUCCACCCGAACUGUCCGUAGGUCAAACCUGCAGAAACACAAAAUGCACUGAGUUACAUUGAAUCCAAGAUGAAAUACAGACCUUCCACUGUUAGUAAUACUGUCUGAACUUCCCAGGUAGCCAAUCAGAACACACCUGUCUUAUGGACUUGCUAGGUCCCGUGAAAAACUAAAAGUAAUUAGUCACAUGACUUGUUAGUCACUCGGUAGUCACAUGAAUCGUAGUUAGCAGUCUGGUUAACGUCAAACACGCUCUAACCCUCAACAUAAGUAAAUGGUUUUGUUGCCUAAAACAACUUCCCAUGAAGGAGGAAGUUUAUUUUGAAGAGACACUCUGAAUAUGAAAGGAGAAAACUGACAACAUGUCAUAGUUUGAAGCUUCAGAGUGAGAACAUGUGGUGAUGUUGAGGUGGUUGUGUUACUGGUUUUACUCCUGUGACUGGUAAACUCUAUCCUACUCAUGUUUCUGGUUAAGUUUGACUUGUGUUAUAGUUACUGGUACUUCCGGUAGUUACACUACCGCAAGGUCGGCGGUUCCAUCCUUGGUUGCUACGUGUCCUGUGUCGAAGUGUCCCUGAGCAAGACACUGAACCCCUAACUGCUCCCCGGGCGGCCGGUCAUGGGGAGCAGCCCUAUAUUCAGGGAUGGGUCAAAUGCAGAGACCAAUUUCCCCUUCCGGGAUGAAUAUAGUAUAAUAAAAUAAAAAAAAUAAAAAACUUUCAAUACUUGCACCAGUGUUAUUGUUACUGGUACUAUCGGUAGUUGCACCAGUGUUAUUGUUUCUGGUACUAUCGGUAGUUGCACCAGUGUUAUUGUUACUGGUACUAUCGGUAGUUGCACCAGUGUUAUUGUUACUGGUACUAUCGGUACUUGCACCAGUGUUAUUGUUACUGGUCCUAUCGGUACUUGCACCAGUGUUAUUGUUACUGGUACUAUCGGUACUUGCACCAGUGUUAUUGUUACUUGUACUAUCGGUACUUGCACCAGUGUUAUUGUUACUGGUGGACUUACGUGUGGAUGGCGCGACAAGUGACCUCCGGUCCCUGGCCGGCCUUCCUUAGAGUGAUGGCCAGGUUCUUUGACCUGUUGGCCUCCAGCAGAGAAACUUUGGAUGGAGCUUUCUGAGGAAGUUUCUGUCUGGACAGAGUCAAGUCCACUGCUGGACCCUGAGCCUUUGUCUUAAACAGCUCCUCAAACUCCUCCACAUUCAGGUCCUGAGAGAGAGAUACACAGAGCGAGAGACAGGCAGCCUCUUUUUUAGAAUCUUUUCAGCACUGAUUAAAGCCUUGCAGGCUGUACAACAACCUCAGCAAUAAACGGUCUGUAUGUUUCCUGUCAAGUGAGACUCCAAAGUAUACAUAUAACCAUUUUUUAACGAGGAGGUCUCAUUAAGUUUAAGACCUCGUUUACUCACUUUCUGCAGCUUGAAGCUUUUUGUUGUGAACGCAUGACAACAUCAGCUGCUCUCUUUUCUCAUCGAGAGUUUCAUAUAUUUAUAAAUAACACAUUUCUACCUUAACAUCUAAAUAAUCUGAAUACUUGAAUGUAACUGUUGUAUUACCUGCAGGAUGGCCUCAUCGUCGAUGUCGUUGAAGACGGUCCCGUUGAUCUGACUUGGCUUCAGGGCGACCCAGUUCAACACAGGCAUCCUAAACUUGGUCUGUAUCGGCUUCUUUAUCUUCACCGCUGUACAUCAUAGAGACAGACAGGUGAGCAAGGAGACAGGUAGUCUACUCCACAUCAGAUUUACUUUGAGAAGGAUGAAAAUCUAGAGUGUUAGGACUGAAUGUGAAGUCAAAUUUCACUUUGGUCUUUGAGUUUGACAGCUGAAAUGUUUGUUCACCUUCAACAACAACAGUAGAAACUGAACAGACGUUCACUAUAGCCCUAACCCCGUUCACCUAACCCGCUGUAACGCGAUGGUGGACGGAUGGUGGAGGGAUGGUGGAGGAGCGAUGAUGGUGGAGGGAUGGAGGAACGAUGGAGGAGG